rnacentral:lncRNA from 1 species
GAACGCCUUUGCAGCUGAAGAGCAUGAUUAUCCUACAGCAUCAGUGGGAUGGGAAAAUGCCUAACUUAAGAGCAAGCCACUCAGAGAACUGAGCACUCACUGCAGAGAGACAAGGAAGAGCCACAGAGGGGGUUGUGGUGUGUAGGUUCAGCCCGGGAGUAAGGUUUCUGGGUUUACAAGUGAUCUUGAAAAAGUAAAAAUGAAUAGAGAUCUUGAUACUUUCGGAAAGCCAAUGCUGCACAGUCAGCCCUAGCAUCUUCUGUAAUAACAGGAACAAUACGUUGAUACUGUUGGAAACAAGAUACCAAAUAACAGACAAGUAUAGGAGACAAGUCAUGUUGUGGCUGUUGAAUGGCUCUUAUGCACAACUGAUGUAAGUAUCUGUAGGUGACGGUUUUGUGUCUCUCUAUAUAGAUACAUACUGAAUGAUAUUUUAGUUAUAGUAAACAUGUUCUGCUCCCCACCAUAUUAACUGCUUACAGAGGAAAAAUAUGGGAAAGCAAUUUAAUACACAUUACCUGGUAAUAUAGGAAAGACUGAACACUGAUUUUGAGAGAGGGCUUUUCAGAUGUCUUGGAAUCACCGUUAAAUUUCUUCAUUUUUUUAAUGCCAGUGACCAAGUGGCCAAAGAAAUGCUUCCACAACUGCUGUGUGCUGCUGGCUUUUUCUCCACUGAAAAUAGAAGGAACAGAAAGAUAAGAGUAAAACAAAAUGGACAAACAAAACAGACAAUCAACUGUUGGCAUCAGAGAUAGAUCUGAUGAACCUGGUGUGUUUUCUGACAAAAGAUUGGUUGAAGAGCUGAAGAAUAACAAAACCUAUACACCUGAGUGGCAUUUUUCAGCUCUGCAAUUUGUUUGUUCUUUUAUUUGCAGUUUUACAAUGUCUGUGAAAAUUAUGGUAACUAGUUCUGAAGACCUGAAUUUCAUGCUUUAUGCUUUCAUGCAUGGAAUUAUCUAUGUUAACAUUGGGUAAAAGGGAAAAUAGAGAAAAAAACAUCACGUGAUUGAUCUGACCAUAAUAUUCUGUUCUGAUUAUCGUAACACAUAUAAGGUAUUUACAGAAGCUCCUUUUAUUAAUUUAGCAGAAAGUAUGAUAUACCUGCUGCUUCUUGUAUUUCAUGUGCAGUGACUGCCAUUCCUUACAAAAGUUGAAGAUCAAAUGGAAAUCUUAAUAAAAGUUUGUUCUCAAAAGCCAAAAAUCAGACCUCUGUUAGAAAUUUUCUGAACUACUUGGAAGAAUAAAUAAGUUGGCAUAGAAAACAAAACAUAAUCAAAUAGGAACAAAAGUUUACUUUGAAAAACCUUAAUAAAUUCUUGUAAAUAUUUUGCAGAACUCAGAAAACUGCAAGUGUGGAAGGAGUAUUUCUCUCUCUCUUUUUAUUUAAGGAAUAAAAGUUAGAUUGGCACUUUAAAAAAAUCCAUUAAUUACCACUAUUUAUAUUUUAUAAAUGGAAAAAUAAACACAUAAUGAGAAGAUGAUCAAAUAGCAGAAGUGGAAGCAGCAUCCUUCAUGGGGGAAGACAGUGGCCAUGGAGGAGCAGCAG